rnacentral:rRNA from 1 species
AGAGUUUGAUCCUGGCUCAGGACGAACGCUGGCGGCGUGCUUAAUACAUGCAAGUCGAGCGAGGUUACUGUUUUGGAUCCCUUCGGGGUGAGGAAGCUUUAACCUAGCGGCGGACGGGUGAGUAACGCGUGGGUAACCUACCCCAAAGUCCGGGAUAACAGCGGGAAACCGCUGCUAAUACCGGAUGCCUUUACCUUGGGGCAUCUUGAGGUAAAGAAAGGCAACGCUUUGGGAUGGGCCCGCGUCCCAUUAGCUAGUUGGUGAGGUAACGGCUCACCAAGGCGACGAUGGGUAGCCGGCCUGAGAGGGUGGACGGCCACACUGGGACUGAGACACGGCCCAGACUCCUACGGGAGGCAGCAGUAGGGAAUAUUGCGCAAUGGACGGAAGUCUGACGCAGCGACGCCGCGUGAGCGAUGAAGGUCUUCGGAUCGUAAAGCUCUGUCCUUGGGGAAGAAGGCGAAAGCUUGACGGUACCCAAGAAGAAAGCCCCGGCUAACUACGUGCCAGCAGCCGCGGUAAUACGUAGGGGGCGAGCGUUGUCCGGAAUUACUGGGCGUAAAGGGUGCGUAGGCGGCCCUUUAAGUCGGAUGUGAAAGCCCGCGGCUUAACCGCGGAAUGGCAUUCGAAACUGGAGGGCUUGAGUGUCGGAGAGGGUAGUGGAAUUCCCAGUGUAGCGGUGAAAUGCGUAGAUAUUGGGAGGAACACCAGUGGCGAAGGCGACUACCUGGACGAUAACUGACGCUGAGGCACGAAAGCUAGGGGAGCAAACAGGAUUAGAUACCCUGGUAGUCCAUGCCGUAAACGAUGAUAGCUAGGUGUGGGGGGUUAUAUGCCAUCCGUGCCGGAGUUAACACAAUAAGCUAUCCACCUGGGGAGUACGGCCGCAAGGCUAAAACUCAAAUGAAUUGACGG